GGGAUUGCCCCAGUAACGGCGAGUGAAGCGGCAACAGCUCAAAUUUGAAAUCUGGCCCCUAGGGCCCGAGUUGUAAUUUGUAGAGGAUGCUUUUGGCGAGGCGCCUUCCGAGUUCCCUGGAACGGGACGCCACAGAGGGUGAGAGCCCCGUCUGGUCGGAUGCCAAGCCUAUGUAAAGCUCCUUCGACGAGUCGAGUAGUUUGGGAAUGCUGCUCAAAAUGGGAGGUAUAUGUCUUCUAAAGCUAAAUAUAGGCCAGAGACCGAUAGCGCACAAGUAGAGUGAUCGAAAGAUGAAAAGCACUUUGAAAAGAGGGUUAAAAAGUACGUGAAAUUGUUGAAAGGGAAGCGCCUAUGACCAGACUUGGGCCCGGUGAAUCAUCCAGCGUUCUCGCUGGUGCACUUUGCCGGGCACAGGCCAGCAUCAGUUUGGCGCGGGGGAUAAAGGUUUCGGGAACGUGGCUCCCUCGGGAGUGUUAUAGCCCGUUGCGUAAUACCCUGCGCCGGACUGAGGUACGCGCAUUGCAAGGAUGCUGGCGUAAUGGUCAUCAGCGACCCGUCUUGAAACACGGACCAAGGAGUCGUCUUCGUAUGCGAGUGUUCGGGUGUAAAACCCCUACGCGUAAUGAAAGUGAACGCAGGUGAGAGCUUCGGCGCAUCAUCGACCGAUCCUGAUGUUCUCGGAUGGAUUUGAGUAAGAGCAUACGGGGCCGGACCCGAAAGAAGGUGAACUAUGCCUGUAUAGGGUGAAGCCAGAGGAAACUCUGGUGGAGGCUCGCAGCGGUUCUGACGUGCGAAUCGAUCGUCAAAUAUGGGCAUGGGGGCGAAAGACUAAUCG
rnacentral:rRNA from 1 species